AUGAAAAUCAAGCCCGAGAAAACGAAGGACCAAAAUGUGAGCUUGGCCAGAGAGGAGUGCCACCUGAGCCUCUUUUCCAUCUUGAACUUUCCUGGGGUAGAAGGGAUGUUGUCAAGAUGGGACAUUUGCUUGAGCUGAGACAUUUUCCGUAGAAAAUGGAGGACUCUGAAACAAACCCAGAUUUUCUCUUCCUGUGAAUCCUCAGAAUGUGAGUGAAAUUUGGAGGAAAGGAGAAAUCUAGGGUUCGGGUUUCAGGAAUGAAUCUUGAGAAAUUCCUAGUGUUGCUGUCGAGGAAAAAGAAAUCAAAGAAAAGGGUUUGUUCUCCUUGGCCUCUCUUACCUUAUUGUUCUUACAUAUGUAUGUAUGGAAUCUUACAGUUUCUUGGAAAUAUUGGUUGGUGGUGGUAGUCACUUUUAGGGCUUGUAGUUCUACAGACGGAAGAGGAAGACAUGAUCUUGAAUUAAUAAUUAAGCAAAUACUGAUUUUCUAGAGAGAGAAAAUGACAGAAUUGUAGAGAGAGACAUUAACGCGUUUGAUGAAUUUAAAAUGAAGUAACGGGGAUCAACAAGAGUCAAAGCAAUUGUAAAAAGUCUAAAAACGGUGUGGAAUGGGUUAGAUUCAAUAGAUUUUUAUUUAUUUAUUUUAUAUUUUCAUUAUCACCUUAAAAUCAUAGCAAAAAAAAAAAAAAAAAAACAGAAAUUAAAGAAUGGACGAAUAUAGUAAAAUGGGAAUCUAACUAUCUAGUUUUUUUCCCACCUUAAAUUGAUUGGGAGGCCUUAAAUUUUGAUCUCUCCAUUUUUAAACCCUCUUUGUUUAACAUUAGUUCGUGUGGGGGUUAUUAUCCUUGGAAGGAGUUUUUGGAGAUGGUGUGGAUGAGAUUUUGACGCUAAUAAUGAGGGGUUUACAGUUUUCUCACCAUUGAAAAUGGAGAGAGAUCUGUGGGGAUUUGGAAAUGGGAAUUUUCUUUGGAGUUUUUCAUUUAUGAUGAUGAAGAUGCUCAAGGUUACAACUGUAAUCAACUAACCAAAGUUGCAAGUACCCAAUCAAAUUUUGUUUUUAUUUUCUUGUCUUUUACCAAAGCAUUUCUUUUUCAACAUAGAAUAUAGUGUUAUUGUGUAUUUAAGACACUUAAAAAAACAAUCAACAUUCCUUAGGUUUUUGUAUUUGACUCCAAUUCAUUUGUACCAAAUAUGAGAUAUUAUUACUUUAUAGAUUGGUUUUAUUCCAUUUUAUUUUCAUCUCAUUUGUUUAUAUCUUAAUUUUUUUUUAUUUUUUUUUACUCCAAACUCAUUACUUUGCAUCAAAUCUUAUUUAUCUAUAUUUCAUAUCGGGUUUUAUUACUUUAUACCUUAAUCUCAUUGUGGCCCCCGCAUUUUCGGCUCAAUGCGUUUCCCACUCGAUGGCGAACUCGACUUUUAUUUGAAAAAUUGAUUUUAUUGAUUAGGAAAAAUGACUUGGAGUCGCCACUUAUUUUUGUUUUAUUUUUAAAAGGGUAAACAAAAUAAGAAAGAAAAACCCUAAGUGUGACUCCUUACUUUGGAAAAGGUGGUCUGUGAAAAACCGGAUCGGGUUCGGGGGUCAGGUUACUUAUCAAGAAGGUACGGUAAAGACCGUAGCACCCCUCUAAGCCCCUAAAAUGGGUCUCUACUAAUAAAAUGGAGCAAUCAUAGCAAUUAAUUAGGAAAUCAAUGGAUACCCGGAACUAUCAUGCACAUAUGAGAAUCAGAAUAUGCAUAGAGAAUAACCAAAGUGGAAGUGGAUGUGUACUUGUUCAGCAAACAACAACGCGCUAUCACAAAAUAGGGUUAGUGGACAAACACAGGUUGAUUAUGUACAUAUCACGGAACAUAGCAGAUCAAUCACGCAUGGCAAAUAAAUCAAUCAAUCGAUCAAUCAAUCAAUCAAUCAUAAAAUCAUGUAUGUGGGGCCCCCACCAAAGCCCGUUUAUUUUGCAUGAAUUAAUAUCACAGAUUCUAUUACUCAAGAAUUAUGAAAAGUUCAUUCAUGCUUAUGCAAAGUCAAGAGGAACAAAAGAUUAUUUGAAACCUAAUGGAAUUAAAACAGUUGGAGAGAAAACCAGAUUUUCUUGAAAUUUAUUUGAAAAUUGGAGUCUUGGGAAUUAAAUUUAAGAAUUUGAAUUUUUGAGAUUAAAUUUGAAAGAAAUUGGAAUUUUUAAAAGGAUUUGAGAAUUGAUGUCUUGAAAAUUAAAUUUAAGAAUGGGAACUUUAGAAAUUAGAUUUUAAAGAAAUUGGAAAUCGGAACUUUAAAGGAUUAUUUAAAAAUUGGAAUUUAUUUAAAGUUGGAAUUUUCAAAAAUAAAUAAUUAAGAUGAAUAAAAUAAUAACAAUAGCGAAAAUAAUAAUGAUUAGAUAAAGAAAUGUGAAAAAUGGAAUUUUGAGGGAUUAUUUAAAAAUGGAAUUCUUUUAAAAAUGAAUGAAUCAACAAAUAAAUGGAUAUAAUAAUAAUGAAUAAUUAAAUAAUGUGAAAAUUGGAAUUCCGAAAAAUUGGAUUUGAAAAUUAGAUUUUGAGAAUUAAAGUUUCGGAAAUUAAAUUUGGAAAUUGGAGUUUUAAAACUUAUUUGAAAACAAUUUGGAAUUUUUGAAAAAUUAGUUGAGAAUUAAGAUUUUGGAAAUUAGAUUUAAAAACCUAAGUUUUAAAAAUUUUAUUUGAAAACGUGAAGUGGAAAUUAAGAAAGAGAUGAAAGCAUUUAAUAAAAAAAGAAAAUGGGUCCAUUGUCUGCAGGCUUCAAUAUUUUAUAAUGGGUUGUGUACUACUUUGUUGACUUUUGUUUUUUUAAUUUAUUUAUUUAUUUGUUUUGGCUUCAGCCUUUGCGAGACCUUCACAGUAGAUAAGCCCAUUUUCUAGUUUUUUUGAAACAGAGCUCAAAUUUCUGGGUAUGACUGGUUAUGGAUGGAGAGACCCAUUUUCAGGCGACAUCCGUGGCCAAGGUGGGUGGAAUUAACAGAAGCGAAAAGCAUGAUUUCGGGCAUCAAACUCAAAUAAACAGAGACAAAAAUAAUUCCAACACCAAAAUGAAGAAAACGAAAUGAACUAUAGCUCAGUUAAUGCAACUCACGAAUCAGUCAAAUAUGCACUCUGAUUCGCACCUGGAGAAUCCCGAAAAUCCCUUUUGCUGAAAAUCCUUUUUCAACCCCUCUUUCCCAGCUCCUCUCUCUCUCUCUUCCCGUUCCUCUGUUCUGCUCUCCAGAUUUUUUUCUCUUCAAAGAAACCUCCCAACUGCUACCCGUUUUCCUCUCUUUCACCCAGCUCCCAGCCGCUCCUGAUUCCCCCCCCUCUAAGAUAAUAUUUUCUUCCUUCUUGGGCAAGCCAUUCUGCCUACUACUAGACGUCCCAUCUCGCCGUCUCCUUCAGCUAAAAUCCCGGGAUGGUCCGAAUAGUCAUCAGCAAAAAAUAAAAUGGCCUCUAACUCCUCCCCGAGAGGGGGUCUACACUCAUUUAUUUAUACUUGAUUUUAUCUAUUUUAAUAUCAUGUAUUCACAUUUUUGUUUAAAACCCCGAAUUGCUUUGUACACUUUUAGUAACUUACAUUUGAAAUUCAAUAGAUAUAGAUGCGUGUCUUAGUAAUUUUUUAGUCAAAUGAUAAAAAAAAUUGAAAUUUCAGAUGGGAUUUUUCUUGGACCUCUUAUUAUGGAGUAGUUUUCUUUCCAUUUGUUCUCACUCCUUAGCACAUUGGACUAUCAAAUGAGAUAUGUUGCAUCGUGUUUAUGCAUGGUUUGUAGAAGAAAUAGAAUGAAAAAUAUAUUAAAUUUUAAUAUUUGAUAUUUUUUAAAUAAAAAAUAUAUCAUAUGUUAAUGUUUGUUAUUAAAAAAUAUAAAAUCUUUUUCAUCUUUACUAUCAUUUAAAAAUUAUUUUAUAAUUUAUCAUUUAAUAAUUAUUUCUUAUUUCUAUAUUAAUAAUAUUCAUGAUUAAAAUUUUAUAAUUUUAUAAAUAAAAAAUAUUAAAUUAUAUUGACGUAUAUAUAAAAAUGUUUUCUACAUAUUACAUAUUAUAUUAUUACACAUUUUAUAAUUCUUUUCUUUUUCAAAUUAAAAUUUUAAUUUUUUUAAUCAUAUUAAUGCUCCAAGCACUAUUGUUUAUUAAUGAGAGCAAGUACAAAACUUGAUCAUAUUAAUAUGUCAACAUGAUCCUAGUGCACACAUUGGAAUUGGUUAACUCUAAAAUGUUCUACCUGUCUUGUUUUACAAAUUUCAAUUUGGCUUCCUUUGCUAAAUUAUUUCACAUAUAUUGUGAAGAGGAUUCAUCAAAGCAAGUGAAAUCCAAAAUCAUCUUUAAGUUAUUUUAUCAAUGUUAUCCUUGACUUCUACACGGUAAAAUUUAGCAUAUUCAAAACAUCUUUUACUUAUAGGGGCACUUUUAGGAUGAAGUUCGUUCAAAAUUAAAAUGUUAACUAUUAGGUUUGAUAGAUUAGAAUGCAAGAUGAUGUAAUUUUCUUGAUUUCUAUGUUGAGUUGUGUGAUAUUGUCAACUCUAGUUUCGAUCUAGGUGAAAAUCCUUAAAUAUAAGGUAGUAAGAAAAAUUCUUGAGUAUCUCCCUCGGGAAUUUUGACCUAAGGUAACUACCAUAUAGGAAAGUAAGAAUAUUGACUCAUGAGAAUUGAUAAAUUUGUAGGGUUUCUUCAAAUUUGCGAGAUAUUUCUACUUAAUUAUAAGAACCCGAAGUGUGUAGUCCGAAAAGCUUUUAUAAAUGAAGGUAAUGAGUUUGACAAACCAAAGGAUCCAUGUUGAUCUUUUGACCAACUUUCCUUUUUUGCUAAAAAAUAAUGUAAGCUUACAAAAAUCUCUUACAAAAUCAAACUUGAAAAAAGGGAAAUGGCCAAAAAUUAAAGAUGGAAAAAGAGAAGGGUUUGUCUAAAAAGCAAGAAAUUUGAAUGCUUCAACUGUAGCAAAAUAGCACAUAUGACAUUUAAAUCCUAAAAUAGUAAAAAAGCAAUGCAAGUGACUUGAAAUUAUACCAAGUUUGAUGAUUGUGAGUGUGAUGAUUCCUGAUUCCUAUAAAAGUAAAGUAAAAAAUAAUUUAGUUACUUAUGUUGUAUUUGUGACUGUUUCAUAUUGUGAUCCCUUUUUUAAAAUGAAUCAAAAUUAUAAAAGUAAGUUUAAUUUUGAUGAUAUUCAUUUUACCUAUGAUGCAUUGUUUGUAAAAGGUCUUUUGUACACUUUAAAAUUUGUUUUAAUUUUAUUUUUACUUUAAUUUUAAGUCUAAUUUUAUCUUUAAAUUUUAAAUGCGAUCACAAUUGAUUUUUUUGGCUCACUCAUACCCUUUAAAUCUUAUUUUUUGUUAUGUUAUGUUAUUUUAUAUUAUAUUAUAUUAUAUAUUUUAUUCAUUUAUUUUUUAUUUUACUUUUUUUUCUUGCUUGCUUUUAUUUUUUCCCUUCUGUCUCCCCAUACCCCACGUGAGAGACCCCAAACCCCCCUUCUUCUAAUUGUGCUUGCAUUUUGAUUAUUAAUUUACAAAUCUUGGGCUAAAACCUAUAGCAUGUGGGAUAUUUCUAUUGAGUUAUAUUUGUUAAUUUAGACUCAUUUUAAUUGGUAAAAUUUAUUAUAUUAAUUUAAAGUUUGAAUUCGGAUUUGAAUAUUAGUUUUGGAUUUUAUACAUUUUUUAUGUUUAUAUUUAAACUAUUUUUGUAAAUUAAAGCGAGAUUCGUCGUUGAAUGAGAACACACGUGAAAAACAUGGGUCCACACCUCUAUCAUGCUUUAAAAGUUGAAAAUGGUAAUCUACUUAAGGAUUUGGACACCUUAAAAAUUGAGGAAAAAAAAAACUUUUUAAUAUGGUAAAAUUUAGUGUGUUUGAACAUAAUGUUAUAAUUGUUAAAAAUAUUGUUGUAGCGAAGCAGUUUAUUGAAAUGUGAACUAUCGCGGAUUGUUGCUUUUUUGUCGGUCCAUUAAUACACCUAAUUCUUUACUUGGAACUUAAGAGGCAUAACCAUGGCUCUACUAUGUGUUGAAUAAUUUUCACUACUCAAUGGUUUAAAAACAAGAAUGAAAUCUAGUCUACCAUAACGAUGGAUCAAUUGAUAAUUCAAAAUAGGUGAUUUUAGUGGAAAAAGAAGUGCAAAGUUUAAAGAAAAAAUGUUCUAUUUGAUAAAUAUUUUUUAAAAUAGUUUUAAAAAAUAGUUUUUGAAAACUGCUUUUUAAAACAAAAACUUAUUCAGAACUUGAAAUAUUUUCAACAUGUUUUUAAUAUUUUUAAAUAUAUUUUAAAAAUAAUUUUUGUCUAAAACUUUAUUUUUAAUUAAUAUACAUAUUUUAUAAUUAAUUUUUAAAAUAACUCUAAAAAAAUAAAUGAAAACAAGUAAAAACAAUUAAGAGAUAGUUUUUGAAAAUAUCUUGUUCAAUGUUCAAAAUAAAAAACAAUUUUUGAUUGUGAAAUACAUUUUUCAAAUUUUUUUAUAAAAAAGAAAAAAUUCUAAUACCCUAAUUGUCUUGAUUGAUUGGAUUUGAAAACACCAAGUGAAAUAAACGGAGUUUAAGACCAAAAUAAUUUAUUUGUAAAAAAAAAUGAUAAGAAUAGUAUCCAUUUCAAAAUAUUUGUCAAAGUAGUCUUCUUUAUCUACGUAAGCAUCCACAUGGAUUUUAAGUGUAAAAAACCACCGUUGGUGACUGUGGUUUUAAAACUUACAGAAAUUUCCUUAAAACCACAGUUACAAACUGUGGUUUUACAAUUUAUCUUAGAACCAUAGUUAGUAACUGUGGUUUUAAAAGAAGUAUCCUUAAAACACAGUUACAAACUGUGGUUUUACAAUUAUUUUUAAUUCGUCCCUAUUUUAAUGGUGUUAUAAUUUUAAUAUUAUUUUUAAAAUAUUUUUUUUAUCAAAACAACCAUAAAACCACCGUUACUAACUGUGGUUUUACUAAUGGUGUUGUAAUUUUAAUAUUAUUUUUAAAAUAUUUUUUAUCAAAAUAACUAUAAAACCACAGUUAGUAACUGUGGUUUUACAAUUAUUUUCAAUCCACAUCUAUUUUAAUGGUGUUGUAAUUUUAAUAUUAUUUUUAAAAUAUUUUUUAUUAUCAAAAUACCCAUAAAAUCAUAGUUACUAUAACUAUGGUUUUAAAAGAAGUAUCCUUAAAACCACAGUUACAAACUAUGGUUUUACAAUUUCCCUUAAAACCACAGUUAGUAACUGUGGUUUUACAAUUAUUUUUAAUCCACACAUGUUUUAAUGGUAUUGUAAUUUUAAUAUUAUUUUAAAAAUAUUUUUUAUCAAAACAACCAUAAAACCACAGUUAGCAACUGUGGUUUUACAAUUAUUUUCAAUACUCUAUUUUAAUGGUGUUGUAAUUUUAAUAUUAUUUUUAAAAUAUUUUUUUUAUCAAAAUUACAAUUAUGUUGUAAUUUUCACAAAUAUUUUUAAGGGGAACUCAUGUGUAAAAAAGUAUGGGAUUUUAGAACUUUGCUUCUCACAAAUUUUUUUAUUAUGACUGUUUUAAAAUAUAUAUAUAUAUAUAUAUAUAUAUAUAUAUAUAUAUAUAUAUAUAUUUUAUCUUUAUUUUUUCAUAUUUUCCUUGAAAAUUUGAGAAAAUAAUUUGGUCUACAUGCAUUCCCAUAAAAGUUUAUAUAUUUAUGGUAAAUAAAAUAUUUAUUUGUUUUACAAAUAUUUUCACAUAUGAACUAAAGAAAAUUAUUUAUUCAUAUUAUUUUUAAAAUUUAAAAUAACUAAAGAAAUUGUUUAUAUUAUUUUAAAAUUUUAUAUUUUCAUAUGAAAAUUAAUGCCAAUGAUUAUGAUUUUAGGUUAUUUAUUAUUAAGUAUGAUUUGAACUUAUGUCUUGGUUAAAAUGUAUAAUUUUUUAAUUAUAUGAAAGAAAAAUAGGUAAUGGUUGUAAUAAUUUAUUUAGUUAGAAUUUCUUUCAUUUAGACUUUAGGAUACAUUUGAGUUUUAUUUGUUUAAAUUAUCAAGGAAACAUGUGAAUAACAUAACAUCACUAAUUUGAAUUAACACUUUAUAUAACCUUAAAUGUAUAAACCAAAGUAUAAUAGUUCUACAAACAUGAAAAAUUAUCUCAAUGUGUCCCACAUGAUGGAAUCUUUCUCUUUCGUUGUGAACAUCUACGGUAGAUGGCCAUAUUUGUUGUAUCCAUCUGUGCUAUAUGAAAAGUCUCCAUCUCUAUAGACUGUGACACGUCAUCUACAUGAGUUGUUGAGAUAGAUGGAACUGAUGGAGGUAGAACUCGACGUACACGUGGAGCUCGAUGUCCUCUAGGUACCAGUACAUGUAAUCGUGUAGCAUGAGCUGUCCCCUGAAGAAAAGGUAGAGAUGCAAUGGACUCUAUAACAGGUGGAGGUGCAAUAGACUCUGUAACAGGUGGGGGUGCAAUAGACUCUGCAAUAGGUGGGGGUGCAUCCAAUGAUAUAGAUGGCUGAACAGGGGUAAGGGUAGAUGGUAUGGUAGUCUCGGGUCGAGGUGAAUAGGCUGGUAUGGAUACAUCAGGGGGAGAAAGUGGCGACUCUAAUGAUGCAGAUGGCUGAAAUAAAGGAAAGGUAGAUGUGAUUGGUGGAUGUGAGGGUUGUACCAAAGUAGAUGCCAAAGGUACAUGUCGGUGACCAGCUCGACGACCAUCUCUCCCCCGACCUCUAAUGGGUGGUACCCUAACAGGCGUAAUCAAUGAUGGUGUUCUCAUGGAUGACCCUGAAGAUGUGGAUGGCUCAUGUGUCGAGUGUACAUGAUGGUCCUCUCCUAUAGCACGUAAAACAUCAAUAGCAAUUCAAUGAGUUUCCUCUAAAUCAUUUGAAAUAGCCAUCUGCGAUACGACGGUGAUCUGUAUAAGAAAAUGAAACAUGAGGCAUUUGCACAUAAUUUAAGUUUAACAUUCAUUAAAAAAUGGUUUUGUAUCUCAAAUGCUUUCACCAAUAACUCAGUGGCAGAAGCUGCACUAUGGAACCUCAUAUGAUCUCUAUGCAAAACAGGUGCGAUCAGGCGUCGCAUGAUACGUCGAUACCACUGCAUAUAUGGAUCAUAAAAAGACAUGGUAGUAAUCGCAAGUGGUGCUGUCGCAAUACGCUCAGAACGAGUAGCCCAAAGAGAAAUAUACUGAGCAUGGAAUGUGACCCAAUCGUACUGAUGUCGUCCUCGCCUAUCCACUAAAUGUAGCUCCAUAUCUAUCAAACAAGGUGGAGGUAUCCCUUGUUGCAUACGAAACUGGCGUAAAACUCGCUCUGGUCUAUGCCACUCGAUAAUAUCAAAGCAAAUUAGAGGUAACAUAGUUCGCCAAAUUUCUUCAUCAGCCUGACAUAUAGCCGGAAGAUGUGCAAUCAAAUCUGUUGUAUAUGGUUCCCAUAAUACCUGUAAUUGACCAGUAGUAAUGGUUGAGAAAGUUGAACAUGUAAAAUAUGCCACAAAAAAUAUGAAAAAUUAGCACUAAUGUGAAGAGCAUGCUUUGAUCAGUGUAAAGCAAAGACCAGUACAUUAAGCUAUACAUUAAGCAGGAGUGUAUUUCCAUUCCAUAUUGGGAUUUCAUAGGUUUCCCCUAAGCACCCUGCUAAAGGCCAUAUUUAAUUUCAAACCCUUCAACUUUCAGUCAGUAAACUCUCAUUUUAAUAACCAAGGCAUAAUAACAUCUUUCACAUACUUAUCCAAGAAAAGUUAAAAGGAAAAAACAUCAUCAACAGUUAUCAUCAUCCAAUUUGUGAUUGGAAUUGGCUAAAAAGAAAAAUUUACACUUCAUGUGCAGGGAUAACAGAAAAUAAUAAACCAAAUGAUAGUGUAGUCACAAAUUCAUCAGGGGUGGCCCUGUCCUGUAAUACAUCAUCAUUAUUCCAGGUAUAAUCAAAGCCAGAUAGCAAUAGACCAUUUGUCCCAAUUUUGAGGAACUCAUUGAAACAUAUUCUUUUCUAAAAUUAAUAGCCACUUGAUGCAUUGUAACUAUGUUAAUUUCCAACAUAUUAACUCCAUUUUUAUAGAAAAAAGAAUUUUUUUUUUCUCCAUUUCGAAACCCCAAUUCGAAAAAACCUUAACCUCUCCAAGUCUCUCUCUCUCCCCCACCUUCAUCCAAUCCGAAAUCCAUAUUUUGGAUCACGAUGAAGAUGAAUCAUGGGCAGAUCAACAGUUAUCAGGAUUCCGAGAUGAGAGGAAAAUGAGGCAAAGGUUAGGGUUUUUCGGGUUCCAGGAUAAAAGGAAUACAAGGUGGAGGAAAGGGUUUUUCAAGUUUUUUGGAUAGCUAUGAAAUUGAAAACAACUUGAGAUUUUUAAAAUUUUCAAAACAACUUGUUUUCCUCUAUUUGGUUGGUGAGAAAGCUAAGGAAAAUGAGUGGGAAAAAACUCAUGAACCCGAAAAAAAUUUACCUAGCUGCUGGUGGGAGCCACUGGUGGGAGCCGCAACCGGUGAAGAGAGAAAAUGGAGCCGUAGAAAAGAGAAUACUUUCUGGAUUGUUGAUUUCGGGAAAAAAUUGGGUCUCCAAAGUAAAAAAAACAAGUUUGACGAAGAUGGCUUGUUGAUGUGGAUUGCUGAUGUAGAUUCAAAAGAGUAUUUUGGCAAAUAGUUUGAAAAUUGGAUUAGUUUGGGUUUUUUUUUCCAAAGAAAUACUACUUUGGCUGUAAACUCAAAUAAACGUGCACAUCAAAGAAUCAUGUGUGGAAGUGAAUGGAGGGCAAAGCCUUUAAUGCAACAACUAAAAAUUCACAGUUCCAUGCGCAUGGAUGCUUGGGUCCCAAAGUCUCAUCCUUCUUUGUUGCAAAGAGAUUUUCUAAACCACAAGCUUUUCCGGUAAAACACAAGUGGUGCUUCACUGAGUUUUGGGUCAAAAUGACCCAUUUAUUAAAAAAAAUAUAUAGGAUCUAACCACUUUAUGAAACUUAUAUUCAAAUAACCACUUUAUGAAACUUAUAUUCAAAUAACCACUUUAUGAAACUUAUAUUCAAAUUGAUAUUUUGGUACCAAGUAGGAGCUUUGUCACUGUAGACCCUCAUUUUGGCGUAAGUCUUUUUUAUUAUUUUUGAAGUACUUUGCUGCCAGCAUGAUUUAGAGUGGGGGUCGGUUUCCUUUGGAGCCACAUGCAUGGGACGCAUGACCAAGAACACACCACCAUCUCGCCAUGGUGGUGGUUGAAAUGGGAUUGGUUUUGAACGGAUGACAGAGAAUGAGAUAGGGAGCAGUGGAACGGGUGAGGGGAGAGUUUUUCAAAGAAAAAACUGGUGAGUUUUCCGGAGGGGGGGGGAGAGCUGUAAGAAACAGAGACGGUUGGGAGAGAAAGAAAAAACAAACAGAGUUGGGUGAAGUUUUUUUGGGGAAGAAAAAAUCUGGAGAGUGGGUUCUUGGGACAAUUGGGGGGAGUGAGGGUCUUCAUUUUUGAACCGUAGCUGCAGGAAAUAGGCUGAGAGAGCUUUUUGGUGAGAGUUUUUUUUUAGAGCAAAGAAGGGAAAAGGAAAUAUAAGAGUAGUAGCUUGGAAGAAAAACAGGGGAGUUGAGUUAGCUGUUGGGGGGAGUGCUGGAAAACGUGAAUAGCUUGAGAGAGAUGAGAAGUGGAGAUCUAGCUUUUCGGGAGAGGAAAAGAGAGAGUUGGACUUAUGCGGGUGGUAGCUUGGAAGAAAAAUAAAAAAAUGGGUGAGCUGAGCAUGGAAACCAGGGAGGAGAGGGGAUGAAAAUGAGUGGAAGUGGAUUCCGGAGGGAGAGGUAAAGUGUAGGAUAAGAUGAGACUGGGAGAAAAGAUCUGGGUGUUGAGAGUCUGAUGGUUUUUUAUUAGGAAGUUGUGAAGAAGUCAUUACAUGCAGUGGGGUUUCCUCAGGUUUUUUUCCAUUUGGGUUCCUUCUCAAAAGGUGAUAUUUUUCUAUUUAUUUAUACAUCUUCUGAGUUUCGUUUUUGUUGGGAUUUUGUGAUGGUAGGUUAGAGAAUUUCUGCUUUGUUUUGGAAUCCCAUCUUUGUUUUUGAGUUCUUGACUUAUUAUCAUCAUGAUGACGGUUGGAAAAUUUGGUUUGCUCAGCUGAGUUUUUCCACCUAGAAAUGGCACAAUUGAGGCUAUGGGCAUAACAUAGCAUGGAAAACUCAACUAAAUGAUGGGUCCUAAUACUAUUAGCUCAUUUCCAAUUUUCCAUUCUUCCCAUUUUCUCAUACGGCCACCAAACCUAUUUUUUUCUCACUAUUUCCUCCACUUAAAUUGAUUUCAAUUCGCUAUCAUGCGGGUGCAACCCACAUUUCCAUUUUAAUUCUCCAUUUUUUUUUUAUAUCAAAGUUCAAUUUUCCAAAAUUCCCACUUUUAAAUUUAAUCUUCAAAUAAUUUUCCAAAAUUUCAAUUUUCAACUUAAAAUUUUUUAAAACUUCCAUUUUAAAAUAAUUUCCCAAAAUUCUGAUUUUUAAAUUUAUUUUUUUUAAAUUUAAUUCUCAAACAAUUCUUCAAAUUUUAAUUUUCAAAACUUCAAUUUUCAAGUACUUUUCUAAAAUUCCAAUUUUCAAAUCCAAUUUUCAAAAUUUCAUUUUUCAAAUAAUUUUCCAAAGUUCAAAUUUCCAAAUUUAAAUUUUUAAAGAUUCCAAUUCUUAAAUUUAUUUUGCAAAACUCCAACUCUCAAAUAAUUUUUAAAAUUCCACUUUCUUUCAAUUUUAAUUUCCAAAACUCCAAUUCUUAAAUUUAAUUUUCAAAACUCCAAUUCUCAAAUAAUUUUUAAAAUUCCAAUUUCUUUCAAAUUUAAUUUCCAAAAUUCCAAUUCUUAAAUUUAACUUUCAAAAUUCCAUUUUCAAAUAAUUAUCCAAAACUCCAACUUUCAAAUUUAAUUUUAAAAAUUUCAUUCUCAAAUAAUUUUCAAAAUUCCAAUUCUUAAAUUUAAUUUUCAAAACUUUAAUUCUCAAAUAAUUUUCAAAAUGCCAAUUUCUUUCAAAUUUAAUUUCCAAAAUUCGAAUUCUUAAGUUUAAUUUUCAAAACUCCAAUUUUCAUUUAAUUUCUAAAACUCAAAUUCUUAAAUUUAAUUUUCAAAACCCCAAUUCUUAAAUUUAAUUUUCAAAACUCCAAUUCUUAAAUAACUUUCAAAAUUCCAAUUUCUUUCAAAUUUAAUUUCCAAAAUUUGAAUCCUUACAUUUAAUUUUCCAAUUUUCAAAACUCUCAUUUUCAAAAUUCCAAUUUUCAAAUUGAAUUUUCAGAACUCCCAUUUUCAAAUAAUUUUUUCAAAAUUCAAAUUUUUAAAUUUAAUUUUCGAGACUUCAAUUUUCAAAUAAAUUUCAAAACUCCAGUUUUCAUUCAAAUAGUUUUAAUUCCACUCCAUUUUUCAAAUAUUUUAGAUUCACAAAUUUUCUUUCAUUUUCAAAUAAUCUUUUGUUUUCCUUAAUUUUUUUAAAUAAGCAUGAAUAUGCAAUUUUCAUAAUUCCAAAACAAUGGAAUUUGUGGGAUUAAUUCAUGCAAAAUCAUUUGGGCUUUGGUGGGGGCCUUACAUAUGAAUUUUCUUUUCUGAUUGUCGAUUGUUAUGUUUAAUGAAUAUUGCUUGAUCUUUGUCUUGCUCUUUGAUAUUCAUGUGAUAAUUUUAUACUUGAGCUAACCAUGUUUCUAUGAUAGCGCAUUAUUACUUGCUUCUAAGGUACGAUUUCACUCCCACUGAGCUUAUUCUUAUGUAUGAUUUAUUUUAUUAUUCGAUCAUUUCAUUAGUAUUCAUCGAUUUCCUUAUCAAUUGCCACACUUGCCUCACCUUAUUUAGUAGAGACCCGUUUUUUGGGGCUUAGAUGGGUGCUACGGCUCACCACCGUACCUUCCCAAUAGGUAGCCUUACCCCUGGACCUAGACUCGAUUUUUCAUAGACCUGUUUUUUCUUCAAGAGUUACACUUAGGAUUUUGUUUUUCCCUUAAAAAAAUAAAACAAAAAUAAGUGGCGACUCCAAGUCUUUUCUAAAAAUCAUAUUUUCACCAAAUCAAUUAAAAAGCGAGUUGCACCAUUGAGUGGGAACGCAUCGUGCGAAAUGCGGGGUCCAUAGUCACAAAAAAUAUUUUUUUUAAUCAUUUUAGUUAAAGUCUCAAUUGACAACUGAGACUUCAUUUUUUAAGUGAAGCCUCAAUUGACAAUUGUGACUUUAUUUUUUAACUGAAACCUCAAUUGAUAACUGAGGCUUCAUUUUUGAACUGAAGCUGUAGUUGCCAACUGAUGCUUCAUUUUUAAACUGAAAUCUCUAUUGGUAACUACGACUUCAUUUUUGAGCUAAAACCGCAAUUGUCAAUUGAGACUUUAGUUAAUUUUGUUUUUAAAUUUAAAUUUAAUUAAAAAUUAUUAACUAAUAAUUUAUUAUUGAAAUAAAAAAUAUAUACUUUAAUAAUAAAUUAUUUAUAUUUAAACUUAAGAAUCUAAUAUUAUUUCAACAAACAUAAAUUGAUAGAUAGAAGAUAUUAUAAAUGAAUAUUUUAUUUAUUAAUAAUCUUAAAAUAAUAAAUUUAUAUAACAUAUAAAUAAGAUAUAAAAUUGUAUAAUUUAUUCAUUUAAGAUAUUUAAUUUAUUAUUUUUUUAAUAUAUUAAUUUAUUUGUAUUAUAUCAAAUUUAUCCAUGGGUUCUUUAUUUGUGGAGGCAUAUGAGAUUAUAUGUGUUUUUUUUUUUCCAGCAUAUAAAUGUUUAGUGAGUAUUUUUUGUGACUUUGAUGAAACUACUAAAAUUUUUAUUUUUUAGUAGACUUUUUCUAAUUAAUUUCAUUAACUAAUUUUAUCAAAAAAUCUAUAUAUGAAAACUUAAGAGUAUACUAUUAUUUCGAUAAAGAUAAAUUUGUCAUAAUACAAAUAAAUUAAUAUCUUAAAAAAUAACAAAUUAAAUAUCUUAAAUUAAUAAAUUAUAAAAUUUGAUAACUUAUUUGUAUGUCAUAUAAUUUUAUUAUUUUAAGAUUAUUAUUUUAUUGUAUUAUAUUUAUCAUUUAUGUUUAUUGAAGUAAUACUAGAUUUUUAAGUUUAAAUAUAAAUAAUUUAUUAUUAAAGUAUAUAUUUUUAAUUUCAAUAAUAAGUUGUAAUUUAAUAGUUUUUUUAUUAAAUUUGAAAGUAAAAAAAAAAUAUUAACUGAAACUUCAAUUGGCAACUGCGGUUUAGGAGUAUACUAUUAUUUCGAUAAAAAUAAAUUUAUCAUAGUAUAAAUAAAUUAAUAUCUUAAAAAACAACAAAUUAAAUAUCUUAAAUUAAUAAAUUAUAUAAUUUUAUAUCUUAUUUAUAUGUUAUAUAAAUUUAUUAAUAAAUAAAAUAUUGAUUUAUAAUAUCUUCUAUUUAUCAAUUUAUAUUUGUUGACAUAAUACUAGAUUCUUAAGCUUAAAUAUAAACAAUUUAUUAUUAAAGUAUAUAUUCUAAAUUUUAAUAAUAAAUUAUAAUUUAAUAGUUUUUAAUUAAAUUUUAAAAAAAAAAAUAACUCAAACCUCAGUUGACAAUUGAGACUUUAGUUCAAAAAUAAGGUCUUAGUCGUCAAAUGAGACUUUAAUUAAAAAAAUGAAAUCUCAAUUAGCAAUUACGACUUUAGUUCAAAAAUUAAAGUCUCAAUUAACAACUGUGACUUUAGUUUAAAAGUGAAAUCUCAGUUGCCAAUUGAGACUUUAACUAAAAUUAAAAAAAAAAAAAUAUUUUUAUGACAUGCCUCCUAUGUAACAUCAAAUAUCAAAGAGACUAAUUUAAACAUAAAUUUCAUAAAAUGGUUACAUCCAAUAUUUUUUUUUAUAUAAAUGGGACAUUUUGACCCAAAACUCUGCUUCACUACUAUUUGGUCAAUUUCAUGACAUGCCCUUUGACGUGAAGUUCUUUACAUUAGUUCCUAAAAUCGAUUUUUCACAUUGACCUUGGUCAAUAGGCUGUGCUUUAAGCUUUGUUUACUGGACACGGUUGUUCAUUUGGAAGAAUCAAGGAAACCCCCCUUAGUGUCCUGGAAUUUUCUUCUUUCCACUUCUGACAUUCCAGACAAGAGUGGGUGAACCAAGUACGAACUUUUGAAUUGGUCCAUUUGGUUCUUAUUGCAAUUCAGUCGACAGCAAAGGUGAUUUCGUACACAAGGACUUACUGGGAAUCUUCUCCAUCAAUUUUGUGGUUGGUAAAAUCUGAUAUAUAUGCAAACACCAACGUCACUGUUGUUUAGAACAUUACAAAUCAAAUGGUCCUUCAAACCCUACUUACUUGCCGUGCAUGAUAAUGAGGUGAAAUCAUCUGCAGAGAGGAACAAGCCCAUAGAAAAAGACCAUGUUCAAGAAAAAGCAAAUUGGUUGUUUUGUAGCUGUUAAAACAUAUGCCCAAUGCGACGAAAUAGUAAAUUCCAAAAACAGGAGGAACAGAGUUCAGAGGAUUCUACAAGUACAUGACUAAGAGGAGUGAAACCCUGUUUAUGCACUCCCAUUCCUAAAAGCCCGUUCUAAUCUGCAACAAAGUGAACGCAAGAUUGCUAGAAAGCCUACACGAAAACUAUAACCCACCAUGAUUGAAGGCAGUAAUAUACCAAUCUAUCAGGUUCCAUCAUCUUUAACAAAAUAUCAAGGACAUUAGCAGAAUGGAAGGACAUAUGAUCAAUAAAUUUAUGUCAAAAAUGAGAAAAAAUACACAUGAGAAAGUAUUAUAGAUGUGCAUACCUUUCGAGUCUUCAACAUUCGAAAACCAUCUCUAAAUCAGCCAUGACUUAGAAUCUCUAUAUGUUUAUACAAUUUACACUGCAGAGAUUAGAACCAGGAACACAUAUCUCCAUAUAGUCCAGAGCAACUCUUACCUAUGGCUCCAUCUUUGUCAUACCCAACCAAAGUACGACAAUUGUAGUUGAUGUGUAACAAACACAAGAAAUUUAUAAAUUUCUUUAGUAUUUCAUGAAUGAAAGAUGUUACUAAACACCUGGAAGCACUCCAAUGUUAUAAAAGAGGACAUAAGACUCUGAGCAAUAAGGACUAAACAAAAUAUCCCAUGUGACACUAAACGGUUGGCAGAAAUAGAUGCAACUCAAUUUUCAUAACAAAAUAAUUACAGCAUCCUAGGAAGAGCCAAAAUAAGGCCCUUCAAUAACUCCAUGAUGUUGAUACUCCAUUAAAGAAUAACCUUCGAGAACACUAAAGUCUACAUCUACGAAAAGUCGAGGGUAAGGGUAAAAACUAAAAUAAUCUUUUUUUGAAGAAGUUGGUCACAUAGAGCACCAGUCAGAACCAGUGUAAGUUAUCAAAGCACGAGAUAACAUGAAAUAAACAAAUCUAAGUUCAACAAAUUCACAUUAGCAAGGUUAAUUCGACCUUGGAAUCAGUAACUCCAACUUUCAUUCAUAAACAAUCAUUCAAUUUAGAAAUAAAAUGAGAACAAAUUCUGCCAAACAACUCUGAUUGGACAGCCAAACUAUCAUACUUCCUAAUACCUUUCAACUUUUCAGUAUAUUUUGUAUGGAUAAAAAAUAGAUAAAUCUUCAAGUCAGGAAAGAACUACGAAUGGAAGUGUGACAGUUUAGUAAGAUUUAUCAUUCAUUUUAAGAAACCAACUGGAAAGGCAGAAUUGUGGGCUUUUGCAGUUAAGUGUCACAAGUAGAAUGGUUCUGAAGGUUUAAGACAUUAGCAAUGGCAAAUGAAAUUAAACAUGGAUAUUGUUGAUGCACUGUACCUGUUCCAACCGCAAAGAGAAUAGAAAUCGAGCUAUCAUGUGCUAAUUUUAUUCAAAUUGCACAGAGAUGGUACAUGUCCUCCAAUCACCAUAUGAUCUAUUGGCCAUUAAAUCUAAAAUGCUGAAGCUACGAAAAUUACAUCCCUCAACUUCCACCUCCCAACUCCCCAAAAAAGGAAAAGAAAAAGAGGGUUCAAGUUUUCUUCUGAUACAGCUUAGGACUUAGAAGCAAUAGGAAAACAAUAUCCACCAACCACAAAAUAUCCUCCCUCCUUACGAAAAGAAAAUAAUUGAUGAUUGGGCAAAGAACAGAGAGACUUAAAAACAAUCAUAAGAAUCAUAAUGAACAAGAAUGCAAAGGAUCCUAAACCACAAUUGAAAGAAUGUUUUACCAAGCACUCUUCUCCCCAGCUGAAUAGUACUUGAGAUACCACCUAACAAAUUUUUUCAAGCCUGUCUGUAGAUCUGUUGUGGGCUUAUACCCGAGCUCCCUUUGAGCCAAGCUGAUGUUGGCAUGGGUAAACUGCACAUCCCCAUUCCUUGGCAUCUUUAUCAUCUUCCUUUUUGCCUUCACCUUCAGGAGCCUCUCCAAAAUGCUCACAAGAUCCGUAACUGGAACUGGUGAUGUGUUGCCCAAAUUGAAAAUCCUCAAUUGAGCUGGCCCCUUCUUCUUCCCUCCACUACCAGUGCUCUUCUCCGCCGUAUCCAAUGCUGCCACACACCCCUUCACGAUAUCAUCAAUGUAGGUAAAAUCCCGGGCAACCGUACCACGAUUUGGUGCCUCAAAGAUGGGAAUCGAUUUCUCCUUCAAAAUAUCCCGCGUGAAAAAGAAAUACGCCAUAUCAGGCCUCCCCCAAGGUCCGUAAACGGUAAAGAACCUCAACCCAGUAAGCGAAAGGCCAUAUAUAUGAUUAUAAGUAUGGGCAAUCUCUUCGCCAGCCUUCUUGGUGGCGGCAUACAGGCUGGCAGGCUGAUCAGUCCGAUCUCUCUCGGAAAAGGGUACCUUUGUAUUGAGUCCAUACACUGAACUCGAAGAAGCCCACACAAUUGCAGGCUGUGGAUUCGCAGAUUUACAGACUUCAAGAAGAUUAACAAGGCCAGCAAUAUUACUAUGAACAUAUGAACUUGGAUUUUCCAUUGCGUACCGAACACCAGCCUGAGCGGCCAAAUGCAUUACAUGGGUAAAUGCAACUACCUCGAAUAGUUUCUUGAGAAGCUUUGAAUCAUUGAUAUCACCCUCGACAAUGAAUACACCUGUACGCUCAAGAAGAGCUUGUCGGGCACGUUUCAAGGAGGGAUCAUAGUAGUCAUUGAAGUUAUCCAGCCCAAUAACGCCAUCGCCACGGCGCUUGAGUGCGGCGGAGACGUGGGUUCCGACGAAUCCGGCAGCGCCGGUGACGAGCACAGAGAUCCCAUUGCGAGCGCGCACUUUGGCCGAUGAUCGGACCCGCUUUUCCCAGGCAGGACCGCCCCAACUGUGGGUCCGUAGGGACCGCCGGGUAGGAUCGGACGGCAGAGAUGAAGAUGACGGCGAUAGGAACAAAACGAUGAAAAUCAAGCCCGAGAAGACGAAGGACCAAAAUGUGAGCUUGGCAAGAGAGGAGUGCCACCUGAGUCUCUUCUCCAUCUUGAACUUACCUGGGGUGGAAGGGAUAUUGUCAAGAUGGGACAUUUGCUUGAGCUGAGACUUUUUCCAGAGAAAAUGAUGGACUCUGAAACAAACCCAGAUUUUCUCUUCUUGUGAUUCCCCACAAUGCGAGUGAAAUUUAGAGGAAAGAAGAAAUCUAGGGUUUGGGUUCCAGUAAUGAACCUUGAGAAAUUCUUGCUGUUGCUGUUGCUGUUGAGGAAAACGAAAUAAAAGAAAAGGGUUUGCCCUCCUUCACCUCUCUACCUUACUGAGCAUACAUAUGCACAUAUGGAAUCUUGCAGUUUCUUGGAAGUAUUGGUUGGUGGUGGUCGUCACAUUUCGGGCUUAUAGUUCUACAGACGAAAGAUGGAGACAUGAUCGUGAAUCAAUGAUUAAGCAAAUACUGAUUUUCUAGAGAGAAAAUGACAGAAUUUAAUGGAGAGAAACAUGAAUGUGUUUGAUGAAUUUAAAAUGAAGUAGUGGAUUGGGAUCAAUGAGAGUCAAAGCAACUACAAAAACAGUGUGGAAUAGCUCAGAUUCAAGAGAGAUUUGUUUAUAUAUUUUAUAUCAAGCAAUGGUUUCAUUAUGAGCUUAAAAUCAUACCAAAAAAAAGCAAAAAAAAAAAAAAAAAACAGUACUUAACAAUGGACAAAUGUUGUAAAACGACAAAUCUAUCUGUCUUUUUUUUUUUUGCCACUUUGAAUUGACAGGGGCCCAUGACUUUUGACAUCUCCAUUUUUAAACUCUCCUUAUUUAACAUUAUUUUGUGUGGGGCUUAUUAUCUUCCGCGUGAUGAAGAUGGUGUGGAUGAGAUUUCAAGUUAUUAUGAACCUUGUUUGGCAACUAUUUGAAGAAGAGUUUUCUACUUUAUUUAUUUAUUUAUUUUAAUAAUAAAAAAAUAUUAUACUUUUUUUUUUAAUGUCAUAAUAUUUUUGAGUUGUUUUCAUUUAUUUAUUUUAAUAAUUAUUUAAAAAUAAUAAUUAUAUAAAUAUAUAAAAUAAUUAAAAUCAAAAUACGGUAUAUGAAAAUUAUUUUAAGUUUUCAAAUAAAUUUUUAUUCUAUAAAACAUUAAAAAUAAAAUUUAAAAACUAUUCCUAAAAAUUAUUUUUUUAAACUGUUUUAAAAAAAUAAUUACCAAAAAAAGAGAUAUUCAUUUGUCUCUCAUUCCCUGUACAUUCCCACUUUGUAAAUAUCAUAAUAUAUUACAGAUAAGACACAAAAUAUUACCUAUAAUUCAUAUUUAAUAUUGAGACCGAGUUGUUAUAAAGAUAUGUAUAAUCUAAAAUAUUCUUGUUAAUUAAAUAUGAUAUUAAUAAAAAUAAUAAUAUCAUAAGGUAUUAUAUCCAAUAGAAUGUAUGUUAUAUAUUUGAAUUUAUAAAAUAUCGAAUAAGAAAACAUAUUAUAUUUUGAUAAGUAUAUAAAAAAUAUAUUGUUUCCAACAUUGUUAUUAAAAAAUAUGAAACAUUUGUCAUGUUCAGUAUUACUUAAAAAUCAUUCUAUAAUCUAUUAUUUAGUAAUUAAUUUUUUAUUUUUUAUUAAAAUAUUCAAGAUUAAAAUAUUUUUAUAUAUUAGUAUUAUUUUAUAUUUUAAUAUACGUAUUUUUUUUUAAAAUUAAAAUUUUACUUUUUUGACCCUAUUAAUGCUCCAAGCACUGUCAUUUACUCCUAGAGGAGCAAGUACAAAAUGUGAUAAUUCUACCUCAUAUCAUAGUCAAAAAGUCAUAUUAAGACAUGAAGUUUAGGUAAAAAAUAAUGACCCUCAAGGCUCACACAAUGAGAAAGCAUGAAUACAUUCAUCCACAUUCUUAUUAUAAGGUACUCUGUGUCAAAAAGAGAAUGUCUAAUUCUCUAAGGGAGAAUGGAAUGGUGCACCCUCGCGCAGUUCAAAGAUGAGUUUAUGUGUGCAAUUUUCAAUACAUAGAAGAUAUUUUUCCAAAUAUCCUUUUCCAUCAAACAAUAUAUGGCAAUCAUAUAGUGUGCACCCAUAUCCUAGUCCACGCAAGACUUGGUUCAUAAGGGUUUUCUUUCUUCCUAAUGAAAAUCUUAAUGUUAUCCUCCAUUGUGAGUAUACUAUCUAUCCCUCCUAGCCACUACAAAUACCAACAAACGCAUUUAAUUACCAAGCCAUCACCAGCAACACCUCUCCAUUGAUAGCAUUGCAACAAGUAAUGAAAAUUCUUAUAUUUGGUUUCUUCACUCUUAAAGAAUCAUGACGUGCAAGUGAGUGCAAAGCAAAGCUUGUUCUACAAGAAGUUCUGAAAGUUCACAGUUCCAGAUACAUGAAUGCUGGAAAGAAUCAAGGAAGCCCCUAAUGCUAGAGACUAGAAUCUUGGAAUUUUCUUCAUUUCCUUUUCUUCUGACAUUUCAGAUAUGAGUAGGAGAACCUUAUGAAACCGGUCCAUUUGGUUUAGCUUAAGCAUCUGGAUUGUCUUAUAGCAAUUCAGUUGACAGUAAUAUUUGGUAAGAAAUACUUGCAUUAUGGGUGCUUCAUAGGUUUGGCAUAAUAGAGGAAGAGGGACUAUUUGUGGCCUGAUGUCACCGGCCCAGACUUAAAACUAGGAACAGUAGCAUUUGAAUUUCUCAUGGUGCUUGAUAGGAGUAUUGUAUUCUUAGUAGCAAUUUCUCUUUAUUUUUUUUAACUCUAUAGCUUGGUGUUUUGAACAACCCAUGUAUUGAUUUUUCCUCCCGGAUUGAAACAUCCCAUUUAUCUGUCCUUCAUUUCAAAUAUAUUCCACGAUGGGAAUGAAAUCUGAUUUAUGCAAACCCAAACAUCACUGUUGUUUAGGACAUUACAAAUCAAAUAGGUUGUUUGUAGCUGCUAAAAUAUAUGCCCGAUGUGAAGAGAUAUUAGAUUCCAAUGACAGAAGGAACAAGUUCAGAGCACAUGCAUAGACAAAAAGAUGAUGUCAAAAGGAUUCUAAACGUAUACAACUAAGAGGAGUGAUACCAUGUAUAUGUUUGUAUUAACACAGCAGAAGAGGCGGCCUCCUUGGUAAGCCGCCUGGUUUGUCUUUGGAAUCACCUCACCUUGUGACAUGAAAGCAACUUUCGAUGAUCACAUCUCAAACUUUCUAUCAACUUUCCAUGGUAAAAAGCUAAGGUUCAUGCAGCCAUGCCACCAAAAUAGUGAAUGUGGAGCUACCAGUUCCAUAUAGAUUGUAAGGGAGAAAGAUCUAGUAAGGAGAAUACCCCCACCAUUCCUAAAAGCCUGUUCUAACCAAUAUUGCCAGAAAAAUGCUUACACAAAAACUAACCCACCACCCUAAAGGCUGUAUACCAAACUAUCAGGUUCCAUCUUCUUCCACAAAAUUAAUCAAUUAAGGACACACAGGACUACAAGCUGUCCCAGACGAGCUUGCAGAAUAGGAGGGUGUCAUUUAGAAUUUUAUGUCAAAAAAGAGAAAAAAAUACCCACCAGAAGGAUUAUAGAAGACCAUGUGUAUGUCUUUCUAGUCUUCAAGAUUUAAAAACCAUCCCCAAAUCAGCCAUGACUUAGAACCUCUACAUGUUCACACAGUUUACAAAGCAGAAAUUAGAACCAGGAAUACAUCUCUGUAGUCCAGAGCAACUCUCAACUAGAGCUCUAUCUUCGUCAUACUUAACCACAGUACAACAAUUGUCCUUUCUGUGUAACAAACACAAGAAUUUAUAAAUUUCUAUAGUAUUUCCUGAAUGAAAUAUGCUACUAAACAACUGGAAGCACUCAAAUGUUAUAAAAGAAAACAUGAGAAAACAUGAGACACUGAGAAAAAAGGACUAAACCACAUAUCCCAUAUGACAAUUAAGGGUUGGCUAGAUACAUGUAACUCAAUUUUGACACCAAAAUAAUUACAGCAACCUAGGAAGAGUCAAAAUAAGCCCCUUCAAUCACUCCAUGCUGUUGAUACUCCAUUUGAGAAUAACCUUCAAGAACACUUAAGGCUACAUCCACAAAAGGUUGUUGAGGGCAAGGGGAAAAACUAAAAUUUUUGAAGAAGUCGGUACCAGGUCAAGACCAGUGUAAGUUGUGAAAGAAGGACAUAUACAAAUCCAUAGUUGCAGAAGUUCAACAAAUCCAUAAUUGCAAAGUUAAUUUGAACUCAAAAUCAAUAACUCCAACUUUUAUUCAUAACCAAUCAUUUGAUUCAGAAAUUAAACAAAACAACUUCUGCCAAACAACUAUGAUUGGACAGCCAAAUUAUCAUACUUCCUAAUACCUUUCAACUUGUCAGCAUAUUUUGUCUGGAUAAAAAACAGAUAAAUCUUAAGAAAGUGAGAAUGGGAAGUGCAACAGUUCAGUAAUCAUUCAUUUAAGAAGCCAACAGGAAAGACGGGAUUGUGGCCUUCUGCAGUUGUAUUUCACAAGUAGGCUGGUUCUUAAGGUUCAAGAGAUUAGCCAUGGCAAAUGAAAUUAUUGAUGCACUCUACCUUUUUCAACAUAUUCAAUUAAACCACGAAGAAAAUAGAAAUCAAGUUAUCAUGUGCUAAUUUUAUUCAAAUUGCACAGAGAUGAUACAUGUCCACCAAUCAGCAUAUUAUGAUCUAUUGGCCAUUAAUUCUAAAAUGCUGAAACUACAACAAUUACAUCACCCACUUUCCACCUUCCAACUCCAACCCCUCUUUCCAAACCCCAAAAAGGAAAGGAAAAGGAUGGUUCAAGUUUUCUUUCAAUACAGCUCAGGACUCGAAGUACCCAGAAAACAAUAUCCACCAACAACAAAAUAUCCUCCCUCCUUAUACGACAACAUGUAGAUAUAUGAAAAGAAAAUAAUUGAUAAUUGGGCAAAGAACAGAGAGACUUGAAAACAAUCAUAAGAAUCAUAAUGAACAAGAAUGCAAAGGAUCCUACCACACGGUUCAAAGAAUGUUUUUACUGAGCACUCUUCUCCCCUGCUGAAUAGUAUUUGAUGUACCACCUAACAAAUUUCUUCAAACCUGUUUGCAGAUCUGUUGUGGGCUUGUAUCCGAGCUCCCUUUGAGCCAAGCUGAUGUUGGCAUGGGUAAACUGCACAUCCCCAUUCCUUGGCAUCUUCAUCAUCGUUCUUUUUGCCUUCACCUUCAAGAGUCUCUCCAAAAUGCUCACAAGAUCCGUGACUGGAACCGGUGAUGUGUUGCCCAAAUUGAAAACCCUCAAUUGGGCUGGCCCCUUCUUCUUCCCACCACUACCAGUGCUCUUCUCCGCAGUAUCUAAUGCUGCCACACAUCCCUUCACGAUAUCAUCAAUGUAGGUAAAAUCCCGGGCAACCGUCCCAUGAUUUGGAGCCUCAAAUAUGCGAAUCGAUUUCCCUUUCAAAAUAUCCUUCGUGAAAAAGAAAUACGCCAUAUCAGGUCUUCCCCAUGGUCCAUAAACGGUAAAGAACCGCAACCCAGUAAGCGAAAGGCCAUAUAUAUGAUUAUAAGUAUGGGCAAUCUCUUCGCCAGCCUUCUUGGUGGCGGCAUAGAGACUGGCAGGCUGAUCCGUCCGAUCUCUCUCGGAAAAGGGUACCUUUGUAUUGAGUCCAUACACUGAACUCGAAGAAGCCCACACAAUUGCAGGCUGUGGAUUCGCCGAUUUACAGACUUCAAGAAGAUUAACAAGACCAGCAAUAUUACUAUGAACAUACGAACUUGGAUUUUCCAUAGCAUACCGAACACCAGCCUGAGCGGCCAAAUGCAUUACAUGGGUAAAUGCAACUACCUCAAAUAGCUUCCGGAGAAGCUCUGAAUCGUUUAUAUCACCCUCCACAAUGAACACACCGGUACGCUCAAGAAGAGCUUGCCGGGCACGUUUCAAGGAGGGAUCAUAGUAGUCAUUGAAGUUAUCAAGCCCGACAACGCCAUCGCCGCGGCGCUUGAGUGCGGCGGAGACGUGGGUUCCAACGAAUCCGGCAGCGCCGGUGACGAGCACAGAGAUCCCAUUGCGAGCACGCACUUUGGCCGAUGAUCGGACCCGCUUUUCCCAGGCAGGACCGCCCCAACUGUAGGUCCGGAGGGACCGGCGGGAGGGGUCGGACGGCAGAGAUGAUGAUGACGGGGAUAGGAAGAAAAAGAUGAAAAUCAAGCCCAAGAAGACGAAGGACCAAAACGUUAGCUUGGCAAGAGAGGAAUGCCACCUGAGUCUCUUCUCCAUCUUGAAUUUUCCUGGGGUAGAAGGGAUGUUGUCAAGAUGGGACAUUUGCUUGAGCUGAGACAUUUUCCAGAGAAAAUAAUGGACCCUGAGACAAACCCAGAUUUUCUUUUCUUGCGAUUCCUCAGAAUGUGAGUGAAAUUUAGAGGAAAGGAGAAAUCUAGGGUUUGGGUUUCAGGAAUGAAUCUUGAGAAAUCCUUGGUGUUGC
rnacentral:lncRNA from 1 species